rnacentral:rRNA from 1 species
GGAUUCUGGGCGUAAGCGUGCGUAGGUGGUUCGUUAAGUCAGAUGUGAAAGCCCCGUUCAUAACCUGGGAACUGCAUUUGAAACUGGCGGACUCCAUUUUAGUAGAGGGGAGUGGAAUUUCAGGUGUAGCGGUGAAAUGCGUAGAUAUCUGAAGGAACACCAGUGGCGAAGGCGACUCCCUGGACUAAAACUGACGCUGAGGUACGAAAGCGUGGGUAGCAAACAGGAUUAGAUACCCUGGUAGUCCACGCUGUAAACGAUGUCAACUAGCCGUUGGUCCUAUUUACAGGAUUAGUGGCGCAGCUAACGCAUUAAGUUGACCGCCUGGGGAGUACGGCCGCAAGGUUAAAACUCAAAUGAAUUGACGGGGGCCCGCACAAGCGGUGGAGCAUGUGGUUUAAUUCGAUGCAACGCGAAGAACCUUACCUACCCUUGACAUCCAUAGAAU